rnacentral:lncRNA from 10 species
GAAAUGAUCAGAAAGCAAAGAAACUCAACCCUCACCCCAUUGUCCCCUCAUCACACUUCCUCAAGCCAAGUGAGAAAGACACAGCUAAGUGUUGGGCUAAUCCUGUCCUUACAUGGAAAUCUGAGCAGUGGCAGAGAGUGAGAGGAAACGGAGCCUUUGUAAAGAGACUCGGAAAGUCACUGGUUCUGAUUUUGGCAAAGGUGCAGAAGUAAAACAAUUUGGCAUUUAUACAGGCCUGCGUGGAACCCUAGUUUAGUCACUUAUUAGAAGCUAUGUAACCUUGGACAGAUCCCUUAACUACUCUGUACAUCAUUUUUGUCCUCUAGAAAAU